GAUGAACGCUGGCGGCGUGCCUAAUACAUGCAAGUCGAGCGAACGGACGAGAAGCUUGCUUCUCUGAUGUUAGCGGCGGACGGGUGAGUAACACGUGGAUAACCUACCUAUAAGACUGGGAUAACUUCGGGAAACCGGAGCUAAUACCGGAUGAUAUUUUGAACCGCAUGGUUCAAAAGUGAAAGACGGUCUUGCUGUCACUUAUAGAUGGAUCCGCGCUGCAUUAGCUAGUUGGUAAUGUAACGGCUUACCAAGGCAACGAUGCAUAGCCGACCUGAGAGGGUGAUCGGCCACACUGGAACUGAGCCACGGUCCGGACUCCUACGGGAGGCAGCAGUAGGGAAUCUUCCGCAAUGGGCGAAAGCCUGACGGAGCAACGCCGCGUGAGUGAUGAAGGUCUUCGGAUCGUAAAACUCUGUUAUUAGGGAAGAACAUAUGUGUAAGUAACUGUGCACAUCUUGACGGUACCUAAUCAGAAAGCCACGGCUAACUACGUG
rnacentral:rRNA from 1 species